GAGUGGUGCUCGAUGCGUAUGGUUUUGUUGGAUCCUGCUAGGGCAGCAACGGCAUAACUUGCGUGUCUUUUCAGUACAGUGGCAUAGGCGCGGUGAGCCUUGCCUCUUGGAUGUUUGUUUCCUGUGCUGUAUAACCAGUUAUAAGGACAUUCAAUUUGUUCAAUUUUAUAUAUUCGCUAUGUGAUGCACCUUAUCGGAUUGUGGCAUGUAGUGAAACUGUGAAAGCAUUGAUUGUGUUCCACAUUCUUUGCAUGCGUGCAUGCUUGUGUUGCUGGACCAUGAUCCUUGCUCGAUCUCUUGGUUGCGGAAUACCUAGUGUGCACGAGACACUAGUCUCUAUUUGUCCCUURUUGAGCGUUUAACGCAGCAUGCGAACGACAAUUGUUUCCGUCUUGACUAGGUUCUAUGGCUUGGCUCAUACGGUUGCAAUGUCGAUGAGGAAUGCUACCUGGGGAUCCUGCCAGUAGUCAUAUGCUUGUCUCAAAGAUUAA
rnacentral:misc_RNA from 1 species